rnacentral:lncRNA from 1 species
CUUGAUUUGUUGUGGUUUCUGUUGUUCAGUUGCUCAGUCGUGUGCGACUUUGCGACCCCAUGGACUGCACCAUGCCAGGCUUCCCUGUUCUUCACUGUCUGCUGGAGUUUGCUCAAACUCACAUCUGUUGAGUCGGUGAUGCCAUCCAACCAACUCAUCCUCUGUCGUCCCCUAAUCUGGGCAAUUAAUAAGUGAUGAGGAUAUGGCUUGAUACACACGCACCAACUUGUGAAAGACUUGACAUUUUUUCUGCUCGGAGCUUUGCAGCCUGGAGCAUACGUGGCACCCGGCAUUGUUGCUUCCCUGGAAGAGGUUUGGAGAGAGCUGGGUGAGGCCUGUUCUAGGACUAGACUUGCCUGGUGUGGAGGGCAGAGGAAGAAAACAAAGAGUGGGCGAAAGACAAACAAAGCUGAAGGAGGGUUGUAAAAUAUGCAGAAGUAAACAGGUGAGCCCGGCCAUUAUUUCUUAGACAGGACACACCAGGAAUAAAAAAUACACAGGCUACUAUUCCUCA